rnacentral:rRNA from 1 species
UACGUAGGGUGCGAGCGUUAAUCGGAAUUACUGGGCGUAAAGCGUGCGCAGGCGGUUCGUUGUGUCUGAUGUGAAAGCCCCGGGCUCAACCUGGGAACUGCAUCCAAAACUGGCAAGCUAGAGUAUGGUAGAGGGUGGUGGAAUUUCCUGUGUAGCGGUGAAAUGCGUAGAUAUAGGAAGGAACACCAGUGGCGAAGGCGACCACCUGGACUGAUACUGACACUGAGGUGCGAAAGCGUGGGGAGCAAACAGG